rnacentral:rRNA from 1 species
UACGAAGGGGGCUAGCGUUGCUCGGAAUCACUGGGCGUAAAGCGCACGUAGGCGGACUCUUAAGUCGGUGGUGAAAUCCUGGAGCUCAACUCCAGAACUGCCUUUGAUACUGAGGAUCUUGAGUUCGGGAGAGGUGAGUGGAACUGCGAGUGUAGAGGUGAAAUUCGUAGAUAUUCGGAAGAACACCAGUGGCGAAGGCGGCUCACUGGUCCGGUACUGACGCUGAGGUGCGAAAGCGUGGGGAGCAAACAGG